rnacentral:rRNA from 1 species
UACGUAGGGUGCGAGCGUUGUCCGGAAUUAUUGGGCGUAAAGGGCUCGUAGGCGGUUUGUCGCGUCGGGAGUGAAAACACCGGGCUUAACUCGGUGCUUGCUUUCGAUACGGGCAGGCUAGAGGUAUGCAGGGGAGAACGGAAUUCCUGGUGUAGCGGUGAAAUGCGCAGAUAUCAGGAGGAACACCGGUGGCGAAGGCGGUUCUCUGGGCAUUACCUGACGCUGAGGAGCGAAAGUGUGGGGAGCGAACAGG